rnacentral:rRNA from 1 species
CAUAGGUUAAUGAGGCGAACCGGGGGAACUGAAACAUCUAAGUACCCCGAGGAAAAGAAAUCAACCGAGAUUCCCCCAGUAGCGGCGAGCGAACGGGGAGCAGCCCAGAGCCUGAAUCAGUGUGUGUGUUAGUGGAAGCGUCUGGAAAGGCGCGCGAUACAGGGUGACAGCCCCGUACACAAAAAUGCACAUACUGUGAGCUCGAUGAGUAGGGCGGGACACGUGGUAUCCUGUCUGAAUAUGGGGGGACCAUCCUCCAAGGCUAAAUACUCCUGACUGACCGAUAGUGAACCAGUACCGUGAGGGAAAGGCGAAAAGAACCCCGGCGAGGGGAGUGAAAAAGAACCUGAAACCGUGUACGUACAAGCAGUGGGAGCACGCUUAGGCGUGUGACUGCGUACCUUUUGUAUAAUGGGUCAGCGACUUAUAUUCUGUAGCAAGGUUAACCGAAUAGGGGAGCCGAAGGGAAACCGAGUCUUAACUGGGCGUUAAGUUGCAGGGUAUAGACCCGAAACCCGGUGAUCUAGCCAUGGGCAGGUUGAAGGUUGGGUAACACUAACUGGAGGACCGAACCGACUAAUGUUGAAAAAUUAGCGGAUGACUUGUGGCUGGGGGUGAAAGGCCAAUCAAACCGGGAGAUAGCUGGUUCUCCCCGAAAGCUAUUUAGGUAGCGCCUCGUGAAUUCAUCUCCGGGGGUAGAGCACUGUUUCGGCAAGGGGGUCAUCCCGACUUACCAACCCGAUGCAAACUGCGAAUACCGGAGAAUGUUAUCACGGGAGACACACGGCGGGUGCUAACGUCCGUCGUGAAGAGGGAAACAACCCAGACCGCCAGCUAAGGUCCCAAAGUCAUGGUUAAGUGGGAAACGAUGUGGGAAGGCCCAGACAGCCAGGAUGUUGGCUUAGAAGCAGCCAUCAUUUAAAGAAAGCGUAAUAGCUCACUGGUCGAGUCGGCCUGCGCGGAAGAUGUAACGGGGCUAAACCAUGCACCGAAGCUGCGGCAGCGACGCUGAUGCGUUGUUGGGUAGGGGAGCGUUCUGUAAGCCUGUGAAGGUGUGCUGUGAGGCAUGCUGGAGGUAUCAGAAGUGCGAAUGCUGACAUAAGUAACGAUAAAGCGGGUGAAAAGCCCGCUCGCCGGAAG